GAUGACCGAACCGACCGAACCGACCGAACCACAGUCCGUCUUCCCUGACCAACUCGACGUUCUAAGACCCACGGUCGAGCCAGACUUAGCUUGGGUCGUGAAGAAACCGAAGACGGACAUGCAUUUUUAUCCGACGGACCAUCCGGACAGUCCCGCAAGUGUCCUUAUCUUUACCCAUGAAUCUAUCUAGUUCAGAUGAACCUGGACAUUAUCUGAAGGGUCAUCUUUGACCAAUCUACAUGGAAGACUGAGUCUUUAACUCAUUAAUUCAGAUCUGGUCAAAUUUGUAUUUUCAAUGCAUUAUUUUGUAUUUUCUUUAUUAGUCUUUGACUACAAACAAUGUAGUCUCAUUCUAUAAAUAAAAUCAUUCUAUGUUUUUGUUUUUUUUCUGAGUGAGAGAGAGAGUUCUUUAGCUAGUUCAUUGGUGUGAACCGGCUUGUUGAUUUGGUGGUCAGCCAAUUCGUCUUUGUGUGUUGUUUGGUGGUUACUCAACACAUUCAUUCAUUCUUGGGUGGUUAGCCUUAGAUCCUGAGUAUAUCAAGAGUCAUUCCGCAUCUUUUGACAAUCAUUUUAAUCCAUUUCAGUUCUAGAAAUGCCGUUUGCCUUUUCGGAUCAUAUCCAACACCCAGCUAAAGUGAUCCUUCAAUUUAAGGCGUAUCAAAAUCAGUAAACAAGACUUAUAGGCCUUGGAAAAAUUAACGCACCGUCCGUCGGAUGGGAUGAGGUUCACGACACGAAAGAGCAGGCGUGGAUAAUCCCAUUAGCCGUGGACGGUCGGAGCGCUACAAAACGUUUCUGAAUUUGCCUCAAAUGCAAACAGAGACACUCCUCUGAUUUGCCUAAAGAUCACAAUUAGAGGAUGAUGAAAGCGUAAAGGUGAAGAAGUCUAUAACCGUCUCUUCUUUGUUCAGUGGCUAACUCAGCUUCACUCAAAGAGGCUUCUUGUGCCAAGGUCAGCUUCUGUACUCAUCAUGUACGUAAUAAGAUAAUCAAAAAAAAAAAGUUAAGAUAGCCCUUUGUUUAGUAAGUUUAAUAACAGAUAGAAAGCCCCCCAAAAAUCGGACGACACACAUUACAAUAAAGAAAAGGAAAAACAAAUAAUUCUGAGAAUAAAUACGAAAAAACUUUGAACUGCUCGGAAGCUCAACAAAAGGCGAGACGAGAGAGAAGAAGAGGACGAAAAAUUCGAAUCUUCUUCAAAACAUCUAAAAGAAGAGGAAGGAGACGCCAAGUUUUCUUGAAUGGAGCCUCCUCCAGAAAGAUCGAAACGCCUCCACAACUUCACCUUACCUUACCUCCGCUGGGGCCAACAAAGAUUCCUCAGAUGCGUCAAUCUACCAUCACAUUCCCAUCAUUCAUCUCCUUCUUCCUCUUCUCCAUCUCCAGAUCACGCAACCCAGAGAUCUUCCCCCAUCAAUGGAGCUGUGACGACGGCUCGGCCGUGGAAUCUAAGGACGAGAGGAGCUGCGUGUGGUGAACCAGGUGACGGAUUGCCGGCAAUGAAGAGAGGUAUAGGCGAAGAAGAAUCGGAGAAGAAUGAGAAACUGAAAUUCUCGGUUUCGUUGUUGAAAGCAGAGAUUGAAGAGGAUUACUCAAUUAUAAUCGGGAAAAGACCUCCGAGGAGACCUAAGAAGAGACCAAGAAUUGUUCAGAAGAAACUCAAUACGAUUUUUCCGGGGAUGUGGUUGUCAGAAGAAGUUACAAUAGAUUCAUAUAAUGUCCCUGAAGCUGUGGAAACGUGACAAAGGAAUGCGCAGUGUGUGUAACUUUUCUUCCGUUUAUUAUGCAUCAAGCAUUAAAGGUGGCUUGAGUCUUGUUGUUGCCAGUGCUGGUAUAUUAAUAGCUAUGCAAGAUUUCUUGUUCUCGAGUAUGUUUCAUGGCUCGGUCCCUCCACGUCAAGAAUGAUCUGUGAUUAAAUCGAUACAUAUAACAGGUACAUUGAUAACGACUAUGACCUGCACCAACCCCUGGCCUUUAACUGAAGAGAUGAACUCUUCUUGAUUCAUCAAACUCUUUCGAGUUCCAUAUCUCGAACAGCAUGAUCCUUUCUUUCCAUGUAACCAUAGCUUCGACUGCUCCAAAACGUCUUUACAAUUACUAACUCCCUCCCAUCACUUCUUCUCUUUCUCCCGCCACAACCGUUACCGGCAAAACACAGCGAGAAGGAAACCAACCAGUGGUGCAAACUCUGACUCAGAGGCAGAAGAGUCAUCAAACUCAUCUCACGAAAAUCAACUUAACUAUAGGUCGCCUUCUUCCUCUUAUAUGUGUUACAAAGCGUAUCAGUUUAGGCCACAAAAGCACGCGGGAAAAAGUGGUGAAGGAGGAGGAAGCUUUUCGGUCAUUCCUGUCCUUAAUGGUCAAUCUUACGACGUUCAUUCCAAAAAAUAAAGAUACGAUAAAGUAGCUGACCACAGGACUAAGAGAGAUUCAUAACUUUUUCCCCCAUUUUUGAUUAACAAUCGUGAUAAAGCAUAACUUGAACAUAUUGUGAGCUUGUUUACAACAAAUAAAGUCAAUUAUACACGAAUUUGCGUAGCUCAUAUUAAAAAUCGGAUAUACAAACAAGUACAGUUACAAUCGUAAAGCAAGAUGUUUUUUCUUUUUAAACUGAACAUAGUUUUCAUUUUCAAAAGCGCUAUCUGAGAUCAAUGACAUCGAA